rnacentral:lncRNA from 1 species
GAAAACAACUGCAAAGUACUUAGACUUCGAAUUUGAAAUUGUGCCGUAUUAUAAUGCGAUGAAGUUAUAAUAAAGCAAUCAUUACUGGUAAUGGUCACUUGUCGUGUAUAAUUCUUUAUCAUACUUUUAUACAGGAAUCACAAAAAGAAUCAUGCUUUGAGCUAUUAAUGAAAAUUGAAAUUCUUCGAGAAAACCAAACCAAAUUAUUCAUCAACAGCAUGGU